CUUUCCCCUCCUGGAAGCCUCGGUCCCUGCGCGCAACUUUAUGGAGGGGUCGACCCCAGUGCACCCCGCUUCUGGAGCGGUCAUUGGGGCUGAAGCCAGGCAGGAUUUUGGGGGCACUCAGAAUCCUUCUGAUGGAGCUCUGCGUUUGAAGCCUGGGUGCAGGAGUUUUCAGAAGAGGAUGGUGCUCUGCAUGACGGCUGUUUGGCUUGACAGACAGACCCCUGAGUCUCAAAGGACACUUUGAUGCCGCCCAUGGAUUUCCCCGUAUGCUGCACCGACACACGGCACGGGAGAAAUAAAAAGAGUCCAUGCUGAAACUGCAGAAUGAAUUCAGAUCUGUUUACCUCUCGAGACGUAUCGUGGACAAAAAGAAAAACAAAGCUGGUGAAUUGUGGGAAGACAUCUCUGAAAAAUCACAGCAUCACUUGAGCCGGUGCUAAGUAAGUAGACUGCAGCCUCCUACAGAAGAUGAAUCACCGGGCACCUUGCAAACAGCUGAGACUCUGGCUUUGAAAGGAUCCCUCCAGGCGUGGAUGGGCCAGCCUGGGGGAUGGGCCGGUUCUGGGGACUCGGGGCUAUUGUAUCCAAGGCGCUGAGAGCAGCUCUCAGGUGUGGGACCUGCAAAGAGGUUUUCGAAUGAGCACAUUUUCUCGGUAAUGCUGUGUCUCUGUGUCUCCUUUACUGUAUUUGAAGCUGUGGCCUUGGAUACGGAAGACACUGACGCUGAUAAAUUGCGUUUCACAGCUAAAACAAUUGAAAUUCCUGGCACGGUGGACUUUUCCAUAAUGUUCUUUGCCAUGGGCAAAACUUUUUUCUAAAGAAUUUGAAGAUUCUUUUUUUUCUCCCUGCGAAGAAGGAAAUCGUGAUACGUCUCAAUUUAUCCUCAACUGAGAUGUUUGAUUUCACAGUUAUUCAAGAAACUCUCAUGGCGUUUUAUUCCAGUAGACUUAGUGCCUCACUGCUGUCUUCCCACUUCGUCUUGUCGCUUUGGGUUCGAGUGAGGAAAUUCUCCCGUUUGACGGAACCACGGCUCUCUGAUGGAGCAGAGCUGGGCAGAGGACACACCAGAGCACAGAAGAGGUUCCUGGCAUUGCAGCAGAUCUGACGCUGCCCUCUCUUUCUGCUUGGGCCUCGGCUCAAGCAAUGCCACCUACUUCAGGAUUCCAGAGAGAACCUAUCUUUAACUGUCAUUAACACGGAGAGUACCCAGGUGGACAGUCCCAUCCCUUCCCUCACAAACAAGCCCAACAACAAUAUUGGUUAAUUGUCCGCAUGGUCCUGGCCAGGGCCCGGUGCUCUAUUCCUGGAGCAGCUCAGAGGCCCAGAAUCUAAGCUCGAUUGUGGUACGGGGUCCAUAUACAGUGGGAGGAACGUGUCCCAGUACCCUGCGGUCCCACUGCUCUGGUUCCAUCGUGAGAACAGUGACUUUGCUGGCAGGUCUGCAUUCAGGGAGUGAGCAUGUCCAGACGGCACGCUUGGGAGCCGGUGGCUGGGGAGUAAGGACGGCAGAGAGAUCGGGCGCGGAGCAGGGCCUGUAGCCCCAUGAAAGGUCGUCACGCCACCUCCUCCACGGAAGUGCCUCGUGUCGCCACCCAUCAGUGCACUCUCGCCAGCCCUGAUGCUUCGUCCACGACACCCUCUGCGCUUCAUUAGCCCCAUCCAUCAGCCCUAAAGAAGGAGAGCAAGAAUCUCCAGUGAGCCUGGAAGGUACAACUCCUCCUUUUUGGCAGUCUGGGAGAGACUGGGUGCAGCACUGCCUCAUCCGUCAACCAGAAACGUAAGCCAUGGCCCCAGCUUUCUUCUCAGCAUCAGGGAGAAGCAUACAGAUGUGGCCUGAAGGACGUCCUCAGUGUGAAGUGCAUAAUCAUCAAUUAAUUGGGAACCACCCAUCUGCCUCUGGAAUGACUCAGGUGGAAACAGCAGAUCAGACAGAACUCAGGAAGUGGUGUGUCCUUUACGACUGUGGAUCCCCUGAAAGCCUGGGCUGUCUUCCAAAAGCUGAGAUGCUUCCUAAGGAAAUGCAAGAAGGGACCGUCGCUGUCCCCUGAGCAAAUGCCAAGAGAGUUUCACAAGGGCGCCCCAGGGGCUGCCGCUGACCCGAGAGCUGGCCAGGUCUGUGCACAGGCUCUAGGAAAGACAUGCCCCAGUGAGCACCGACUGAUAAGCUGCUAACCUCGGUGGGAAUUCUGCAGCUUUUCCCUAAGGCAUGCAAGCUUUGCAUAAAAGGAGGACACGUAAAUGUCGUUAAAAAGGGGCAUUUUCAGUACUUUGCCGUUUCUCUAGAUUGGCAAAAAUUAUGAAAACAUACUAUAAAAUGAUGAUGCAUGAAGGACAGCGGCUUUAUGGUUAUGGGAGGCAGCUUGGGAUGGACUAAAUGACUUUCCAUUGUAAAAUCUCAAAUCUGUGACAUGUGUGACACUUAACAGCAUCUCACUUAUUGAACAUGACCUUGCUUGAAGUCCCCGACCCAGGGGGAAGUAAGAAUCAGUGGCCCACAGUUCAGACAUUCAUCUCACCCCUGUGGUCCCAUUUUCGUCAUCUUACUGUUCAAGUUACAUCUUUUGGGGGUCUGUUCCCUGUGAGGCUUUCUAGUACUUUCCCUGACCUCACCUGAAUCAGAAGUAGAAAGUAGGUGUCACUUUCGGUAACUGUUUUCUAACGGGCUUUGAAAGUCCUGAACACACCACGAGCCAAAGUGAGCCCAUCUAUAACAGGAGUUGGGAGAUUUGUGAACAAGGGGGUCAGCUAUUCACACAUGAAGUCCCGAGAUACAACCAGCCAGAAAGCACGAAGUUUGCCGAGUCUCAUUUUACUGCUCACAUGACUGUCUUUCGAACAUUGCACUGAUGCCGCUCUGUUGCAAAUCAGCUCAUAUCAGUUAGUUAAGACAAACCCUUCUCCAAUCUUUCAAGCAGCUAAGUGGGGAGGAUAUUUGUAUAUCGAAGAAACUUUAAAAAUGACAUUUCACAAAGCACAAUGACCUGAUAAAACUUCAUUGUCUUAUGUAAGUAAUGGUCGUUACCAUAUUACUAUCCUCCACUAGCUGAUUCCGUUGGGCUCCUGAAGGCCAAGCCCCUGCUGCAUGGCAGAGCUGAGAGGGUGUCGGAUGGGGUGACUGUCCCCCAUGGAACUCGUGUUUCAGGGGCAGGAAGACCCUCCAUACCCCAGGCCCCAGUGGACACAUCCACACUCCUCUGUGGGGAGGGACCCGGGAGACCUCAGAGAAAUGCUGUGACAUCACGGGGACUCUGGUGGGGUCGGUGAGCCCCCGCGGCCCAGCUCCCAGGACGGGGGUCCUGCUUCUGAGCCUGGGAGAUAAGAAGUCAGCUCCAUGCCUGCGGACAGAGCAUUUCAGCUCAAUAGCUCUGCCCCCAGAUUUUCACAGCCUUUUAAGCCAGGCUUAGGUUGUAUUUCUUGCUCUGAUGUUGCUAAAUCCUUCCAGACUACUUCUAGUAUUUCAACCUGAAGCCAGAGGAGUUUUAUUAGCCCUUUUCUGAGCCUCAAAGUGAAAUGUUAAAACUGGGGACAGAAGAAUAUCCCGGGCAGGACUGGCGCUCCCUCUCUCCCGGCUCCAGACCCAGAGCAGAUACCCAGCCGUUGGACCUUAGGCUCCUUGACUGUCAGGGGCCACUUGCAGGCCAUUCCUCUCCAUUCUGGCCAUGCUGGGCUGCAGCUCCCGGGCUCACGGUCUGGGGGACCCCUUUGUUCCAUGGAGUGUUAUCCCAGGGCCUGUUCUGUCCCCAGCAGAGUCUCUCCCACACACUUGCUCAUCUGCAGAGGCCCAAGCACAGUAGAAUCUGUUUGCCUGCAGGUGCCUUGGGAGGACGGAGCUGCAGCGAGGAUGGGAGGGGGCAGCGGGUGGUCAGAAAGAGCGUCCCCUCUUAGUGUCCUAAUCCAACAGUGCCUGCUUCCCAGCUGGAGCCACUUCUCAGCCUGGCCUGGAGCUUCUGCCCCGCCCCCUGUCCUCAGUCUCCUCCCCACACUAGCUACCACUGCUCUGCUCCCCUCACCCCUGUUGAGGUGCGCUGGCUGCAGACUCACCCCAGAAGCCACCCAUGCUGCCCACCACACCGCAUGUCUGGCUCUGUCACCCUCCCCCCGGGGUCCUGACCCUGAGGUUCCCUCUACAUGGGAAACUGAAGCUCAGCGGAAGAUACACACGGGGGAUAACUAACGGCCACGGGCCCUGAUCCUCCUGUGCCCUUAGGGUGCAUCCCCUUCGAGGGAGGCUGAGCCUACUUACCUGGCUUCCGGAGAAGGACAAACCCGUGUGGGUGCCUGGCCAUUGCAACUCCCUCAUCGCCGGGGACUUUACCUCCCCGUAUGUGGAGAUAAGAGUCAGAGACAGAGGCUGGGUGGCUCAGGUGUCCGGAGAACGGUGCAGACUGUUGUGCCUGCAGGCUUUGCUCCUUUUCCUGCUCUGGAGCUAAAUCUGUCAUCCCUGGAUGAAAGGGUGUAUGUGAACCUUUUCCUCUCUGAGCCUUUCCCUGAGGACCCCCCCCUCUCAGAGUCAUCAUGACCCUUGCUCCGAGGCAGCUCCACCCCCCAGGCCCAGAGCCGCAGGAAGGCCGGUGCUUUGGUUGGUCAAGAGGAACUAUCCUGGGACUUUGGAGCUCAGCUCUUCCCUCUGGGUGUGGCGUGCCGAUUCGCUUUCCCGUCUGCUACGCCCCUUCUCUUUCGUGUGUGGCCCUGUCUCACCAGGCCAGUGCCACCUGGAGCAGGGGCUGUGGUCACCUGAACCGUGGGGCAGACGUUAGUUUCUGAGCUCAGGGCUGAGGCCUACACAAGCCUCCUCCCAGGGGUCCUUAGUGAAGGACCUGAAGACCCCUGUACAACAAAGCUAGCAGCGCUUCAGGAUAGCUUCAGUUAUGGUCUCUCUCAGGGGGUCAGCAAGUGUCAUUCUGCACCACUGUCUUGCCAGGUGCCCCCAAAACAUGGAGGGCAUGCAUGGAGAUGCAGGGGUGCCACUUCUGCCCACCCGCGACCCCUCAGGCCAGGGGUCCUCCUUAGCCAAGAUGAAAUCCAGCUCAUGCUAUAGACAGACAAGGUUAAAUCAGAACAACGUGUGUGUAUAUGCGUGUGUGCCUGUAUGCGUGCAUGUGUGCGUGUGUGUGUGGAAGGUAUGGUGGUAAGUAUGAGUAGAGUCUGCAACCAUGGGAAGUCAGAGCUGGAAGGGAUCGCAGUGAAAACAGAAUGUGUCCCUGGGAGACACCCAGAGAGAAGUGGAGAGGGUAGUGAAGUCCCGGGCCCACACGGCCAGCUCCUCCCUGUGAAUCUAUAUAGAAGAGUCGCGUGAAGGCCACACCCUGAGCUGAUUUCUGUGCUUGUACUUCACACAGGCUGCAAGGUUUCAGGAUCAAUUCCACAUUCGUUACACUGACAAUUGCCUCUGUGCUCACGCCCCAGUGAUCUGGCCCUGCCUCCUGCCCCAGGCUCCGUUCUCAGCGGUCACCCCUCCCAGCCACUCAGGACUGGCCUUUGCACGUGCUGCCUGGAUGGCCCUGCUCACUGGCUAAGCUUCCUGAACCUCAGGGUCACAGAGCAGUGUCCCCGGCAGGCUGUGAUGGACACAGAGUGAGGGAGAGGUGAACCUUCAUUGUCAGGAGUCCCAAGAUUUGAGGACUGGUUGUUCCUGCCGCAGAAGCUGCCCGUUCCGACCUCGACCCUCUCCAGACUCACCUGUCUGGGGGUUUAGGCUCACGGACAACUGGCUUUUCUCUGGAAGGCCCACUGAGCACCGUCGGGGAGACACCUUCAAUCAGUCACAGGAGGGUGUGGGGUGUCAGAGGCGGAGCCCUGAGGUCAGGGACUCUCAGUCUGGUUGGGAGGAAAGAUUUGGGGAAGCGAGGCUACACCGUAAGAGGUCAUUAACAACCCAGCUAGAAACAGAAGAGCCGUUGCAAAGAAGACCGUGACCAGCCGCUGUGAAGGCUGCAGACACGCAGAGCCUCAGGAAUCCACGGAGGGAGCCGCAGGCUCGUCGUCACAGAGGGUUAUAAAGGGUCUCUCAGCAUCACUUUCUGGGCAAAUAACUGCACGUGAUAUGAGGAGAGGCAGAGCAUAAAAGCCUCCCGUGUUGGGUUUUUAAGGCCCAAAGUCGCGUCCUUCCUCACGCGGGGACUGGCCAAGAGCGCUUUCUUCAACCCACGAGCCUCUCCUUGGGGUUUGGCCGUGACCCAGGGUGACAGGUGAACUCAUGCAGUGCAGGGCGUGGGCCUUGAGAGAUUAUCCUCCUGUUUCUUCACAGGGGAGGGUGGGGAGUGAGGUGGAAGGAGCAUGGAUUUCAGCACAGACAGACCCAACCCCGUCCCAUCCUCCCUUCUAUUCAGUGUAGGACUUGGGGCAAGUUAUUGCAUGUCGUUGGGUGUCAGUUUUCCCACUUAUAUCAUGUUAACAUAACAAUGUGACCGUCCUCACUGUUUUUUUUUGGCUGAAAUAAUAUGCACGAAGCUGCUAGCACAGUGACCGGGUCGGCUCUGAACCAAAGUCGGUUCCAUCCCUCCCCUACUACCUGGGGAGGUGCUGAGCUCUGAGGACACAGCCCAAGACCCAGCCCACAGCUAUGCAUCGGAAAGUGUGCAGCCGUGCAUUUUAAAGAGAGUCAGAAAGAGAAAAACAAAUAUCGUAUAUUAACGCAUAUAUGUGGAACCUAGAAAAAUGGUACAGAUGAACCGGUUUGCAGGGCAAAAAUAGAGACACAGUUGUAGAGAACAAACAUAUGGACACCAAGGGGGAAAGUGACAGGGGUGGUGGUGGUGGGAUGAACUGGGAUAUUGGGAUUGACGUGUAUACCCUGAUGUGUAUAAAGUAGAUAACUAAUAAGAACCUGCUGUAUAAAAAAUUAAAUAAAAUUCAAAGAAAAAAAAGAGGGACGAUCUUUUCAGGUUUGAUUUCCAUGACAAAGGUGCCCUGGGGUCUGCUUGUGAAGCCCAGGAUUUGGCCUUUCCUAUCAUACCUUCUGGGUCUGCCUCUGCAGCCUGUCAUGACUCCUUAGUCCUCGAUGGAGCCCAGGGCCCCUUAUUGUUCAACACCCACUGAGCAGUUCACUACAUAUUAUUUCAGGAAAUGCAUUUUCCGGAAAGUCUAACCCUAAGAAAUGCAGCCAGCACUCUGCUACUUCCAUAUCAACUUUUUGCUUUUUUCUUCUGUGUUAAGUCUUUUUUAAUUUUGCCAAUCAGAUGGAUGAAAAGAGCAGUAUUCUAGGGGGCUAUGUUGCAUUUCUUUUCUUGUCUCUUGUUUAAUUAGGUUUACUGAAGUAGGCUUUACACACAGUAAAGUUCACUCUUUAGCGAACAUUCUCUGAGAAUUUCCACAUGUGGAGUCAUAACCACCUCCACGGUCAGAAAAGAUUCAUCCCCCCAAAUCCCUCCUGCUUCCGAUCUGUGGUCACCUCUUCUCUCUCCCAUGACCCUGGAAAUGACCAAUUCCUGUGCUCAUAUCGCCCCCUCUCCAGAAUGUCACAUAAAUGGAAUCAGACGGUCUAUAACCUUUGAGUCUGGCCUCUUUCACUUUGCAAAACGUGUUUGAGAGUCAUCAUUGUUGUUGUGUGUAUCAAAAGUUCAUUUUUUUUAUUGAUAUGUCAUAUUCCAUUGUAGGGAUGAGUUCCGGUGUGUUUAUCCAUUCCUCUGCUGAAGAACAUUUGGGUUGUUUCCCAACCCAAAUUUUUUGGUAGAUUAUACAUAAAGCCACUGUAAAUAUUCAUAUACAAAGUUUGAGUGAUCAUGUAUUUUUAUAUCUCUUGGGCAAUUACCUGCAAGUGGGAUUCUGGGUCACGUGAAAUGGUAUGUUAACUUCAUAGGAAACUGACACCAACUUCUUUUUUAUUCCAUAUAUAUGUAAACUUUUAAAGUAGACACAGAUUACCAAGUAAUCAAUAAGCUAAUUUAUCCCACAGAAUCGACAGUGGAGAGAUUGGUUCUGCCCUGAAGCUGUGUUUGAGCUCAUCUGUCUUCCCAUCAGCCCUAAGAUAUUACCCUUCUCUCCCACCCAUACUUCCCUUUCCAUUCCCAUGGGUGCCCCCAAGUUCUGUUCUCUUCCCCUUUUACCUGGCUUAUCAUGGCCAUUCCAGUAAGUUAUAAAAAAGUUAAUUAUAGUUGGUUGUUAUCUUCCACUGGUCAGCCAGGAUCUAGCUCAGAUAUAAUAUUGAAUAAAUAUCUCUCUUGGUUAUUUCUUAAUUAAAGAUAUCUUCUCCUCCUCAGAAUCUCUUCCAUCUUAUGUGACCAAUAUACUAUUUACGAACUCAUUAUUUUUUACAAUUUUGUUGAGAUAGAAUUCCAUAGCAUACAAUUCACCAAUUUAUAGUAUACAAUUAGAGGUUUUGUUCAUAUAUUCACAGUGUCAUGCAACUAUUAUAGUCAUCUAAUUUUAGACCAUUUCACCAUCCCAAGAAGAGGCCAUUGGGAUUUUGGUAGAGAUUGCACUGAAUCUGUAGAUGGCUUUGGGGAAUAUUGCCAUCUUUUAAAAAACAAUUAAUUCAUUCAUUUUUAUUGGAGUAUAAUUGCUGUAUAAUGUUGUGUUAGUUUCUGCUGUACAGUGAAGUGAAUCAGCUAUAUGUAAACAUAUAUCCCCUCCAUCUUGGACCUCCCUCCCCUCCCCCAAUCCCACCCAUCUAGGUCCUCAGAGUGCACUGGACUGAGCUCCCUGUGCUAUACAGCAGGUUCCCACUAGCUAUCUAUUUUACACAUGGUAGUGUAUUUAUGCCAUCUUAAUCAUCUUAAAGUCUUCCAAUCCAUGGACAUAGGAUAGCUUUCCACUUACAUAACUCUAAUUUCUUUCAGAAAUGUUUUAUAUUUUCAGUACAGGUCUUUCACUUCUGGCUAGAUUUAUUCUUAAGUAUUUUCCUUUUUUAGAUGAUAUUGUAAAUAGAGUUGUUUUCUUAAUUAAUUUCAAUUUUGGAUUUUUCAUUGCUAGGCAAUAUAAAUACCACUUUUUUUUUAAACUGAUCUUGUAUCUACACCUUGCUGAACUCUUUUGAUAGUUCUUUAAGUGUUUCAGUAGCUUUCUUAGGAUUUUCUAAAUAUACCAUUAUGUCACCUACAACUGGAAAUAGCUUUAAUUCUUCCCUUUUAAUAUGAAUUGCUUUAAUUUCAUUUUCUUCUAUAAUUUCCCUGGUUAGAACUUCUGGUACAAUGUUGAAUAGAAUCGGUGAGAGCUGAUAUCCUUGUCUUGUUCCUGAUUUUUGGAGAAAAACAUUCAUUCUUUCACCAUUAAGUAAGAGGUUAGCUGUGGGUUUUCCAUAUAUUUUCUUUGUAAGGUUGUGGAAAUUUCUUUCUAUUCUUAGUUUUGUGAGUUUUAUUAUGAAAAUUCAUUGGAUUUUGUCAGAUGCUUUUUCCUGUGUUUAUUAACAUCAUGAUGUGUUUUUACUUCUUCGUUACAUUGGUUUAGUGUACUGUAUUAAAUGAUUUUUCAAAUGUUAA